AUGUCUUGAGUAUAGAAGCGACGUUUGUGUAGAGUGUCUUAAUUAUAAUCUAAUUUUAAAGGUUUGCAGUUAAAAAAAAUGGAGCAUGAUGAUGGCGAUGUAUCCUGUGCAAAAAGGCAGCGCUUAGAAAACAGCAAAGACACAGACAGAUGCACAGACAAAGAAGACAUACAAGAAGAAAACUCAGCGGACAAUGCCUAUUCGACAGGUCCAGUCAGGGAGGAUGAUGUUGGGAUAACAGAGUACAUCUCAACAUUGCCAGGCUUCUCAGGAAUUCUCAA